ACUUGACUUUCUUGCCCCUCACCUCUCUCUCUCUUUUUCAUAUAAUCCAAUUUUAAAUAUGGCUUUACUCAUUCCUCAUGUCAAACGUGAAACCCCCCCAAGUCUCAUUCAUUAUUCACCAAAGUCUCACUCAUUAUUCAACAAAGUCUCACUCUCAUAAUUAAUUCUCUUAUAAACUCCAUCAAACCAUAGCAUAACAUGAAUUCAUCCAUUCACAUUUUCACAUUUACUACUAUCUUAUUAAACUAAACUUUGGUAUAUGAAAUAAACACUCAUUCAUCUAGGUUUCAUACCAUAAUAACAAAUCAGGAUCUGUUUUCUUCACUGUUUUUGUCUUCUAGCUUCUUCUGAAGAUGGAAGAUUAUGAGGUUAUAGAGAAACUUGGAAGAGGAGCUUUAGGUGCAACUUUUCAUGUUCUUCAUAAAACUGAUAGAAAGAGGUAUGUGUUGAAGUAGUUUCGCUUGUCUAAGCAUACAGAGAAGUCCAAGUUGACAGCGUACCAAGAGUUGUUUUAUUUCAGGUUCACGAUGGAAAACUCACACGAUUCAUUUGAGGUUGAUCCCAAUGAAGUUCAUUCCACUGAUGGUGAUAUAGAAUUAAAUGAUGGUGAGGGUGACAGUUAUGAAAGCUCAUGUCGACGAUGUUGAUAAUACCGAUGAAGAUGAUUCGGCUGAAUUAGAUGCAGUUGAAGGGGAUGAUGAUGUCGACGAUGCUAAUAAUGGCGAUGAAGAUUAUUCGGCAGAAUUAGAUGCAUCUGUAGGCGAUGAUGAUGAUGUCGACGAUGCUGAUAAUAGCGAUGAAGAUGAUUUGGCAAAAUUAGAUGCAGUUGUAGGCGAUAAAAGGGUAAGUAUUGGUAACAUGACUUCUGCUGAUAUUCGUGCUAUGGAAUUUGAUUUUGUUGAUGAAGCUUAUGAUUUUUAUUAUAAGUAUGGUAAAUGCAAAGGUUUUUCCGUAAGGAAAAGUGAUAUUAGGAGUAGAGGGUCUGAAGGUAGUAAAAUAAUAGUAAUGAGGCAGCUUGUAUGCAACAAGCAUGGUUUAAGAGACGAUAAACACGUUAGUAGGUUAGAUAGGAAAAGAGAUGAGAGAUGUAUUAACCGUACUAAUUGCUUAGCUAGGCUUCGUGUACACUACAACACAAAAAAGGGUAGAUAUGUAUUGUCAUUUUUUGAAGAGACUCAUAACCAUGAAUUAACCCCAUAUAGGUUUACGCACUUACACCCCGUUAAUCGUCAAAUUUCUGAAGCUGAUAAAGCUCACAUUGAUGGUCUUCAGUCGCAUAAAAUUAGAACUUGUCAUAUAAUGGGGUACAUGGUUGCUCAGAAGGGUGGUUACGCUAGUGUUGGAUUUACAAAGAAAGAUCUGUACAAUUAUUUAGAUAAAAAAAUGUGUGACCUUAUAAAAGAUGGUGACAUUGCCGCUUCUUUAAAUUAUCUAAAUGUAAAGUCGUCUACUGAUCCCAUGCUAUAUGCAAAAUAUACCGUCGACGGUGAUGGACGACUGAGGUCUCUUUUUUGGGCUGAUGGGAGCAGUAGAUCCGACUAUUUUUGUUUUGGCGAUGUGGUUGCGUUUGACACAACUUACAAGAAGAACAAAUACAACUAACUACCCAUUGGUUUUUUCAGGGUGUAACCACUACUCUUAGAAAGUUAUUUUUGGUGUUGCGUUGGUAUCAGAUGAAACAACAAGUACCUAUAAGUGGUUGUUGAGUUGUUUUUUAGAGUGCAUGGAUGAAAUAUACCCACAAGCAGUGGUAACAGAUGGGGAUGGUGCUAUGAGGGAGGCUAUAAAAUACAUUUUUCCCGAUGCAACUCAUCAGUUAUGUGCUUGGCAUUUGAAUAAGAAUGGAGGUGAAAAUGUAAAGAACUCAAAAUUUUUGGAAGGCUUUAAAAAAGCAAUGUACUCAAAUUUUUCAAAGGAUCAAUUUGAAGAAUUUUGGUCAGAGCUAAUUAAAGAAAAUGGACUUGAAGGAAAUCCAUUGGUAACCAAGACGUAUGAGAACAAGUCAUUGUGGGCAACUGCAUAUUUACGUGAAUUUUUUUUGGACGUAUAAGAACUACAUCUCAAUGUGAAGCGGUUAAUGCAAUAAUCAAGAGUUACGUAAGGAAGAAAUGAUGCAUUUUUGAAUUUAUGCACAAUUUUGACGAGGCUCUUAGACACUAUAGAAAAAAUGAACUGGUAGCUAAUUUUAAAUCCAAGUUUUCAGAACCGGUAUUGACAACUCACCUGCGUUUAAUUGAGAGCGAUACCGCUAAAAUUUAUACAGCCGAGAUUUUCAAAGAGGUUAAAGAUGAAAUUAUGAAGGCUGGUGCGUUGAUUGUUAAGAGCUUUGUAAGACAUGGUGAUGUGAAGAUGUACGUGUUGACAAAAAUAUUGUACGGAAAACUAUGAAAGACGAGUUGUUUUUGAUGGUAUAACAUUUCAAUGUUCUUGUAAGUUAUUUGAUUCUCGUGGGCUUCCAUGUUCGCAUAUUUUUUAUGUCAUGAAGGAAGAACAUGUUUCAAACAUUCCUAGUAGUAUGGUUCUGUCGCGCUGGACAAAGGAUGCGAAGAUUGAAUAUUUGAACAUGGUUGAUAAUGGUACAGUUGAUUCAAAUUCGAUGGAGGUUGCCCGUUUUGGUGCAUAUUGUUCUCUUUUUACCAGUUUUUGCAAAGAAGCUUCAAAGAAGAAUGGUGUUUAUGGGGAAAUAAUGGAGGACAUCAUGAAGAUACACAAAAAAUAUUGCAGUGCUGAUGAUCAAAUUGGGACACAAAGGGAGACGGUAGGUGAUCCAAUAACGGUGAAGAGUAAAGGUGCUCCGAAGAAAAAAAAGAAUGACACAAAAGCUGAUAGGUGUUGUUCAAAAUAGUACAGAAAACCUGUUAUCUGAGCGAAAUGUUGAGUUGGAGUCGGUGUCCAAAACUGAUUCUUUAAGCCAAAUUCCGAAGAUGUUACAGACAUGAGCAGGCACAAGCAGACAAAGCUGCUAGACAAAGAAGAAGAAAAUCAAAAGAACAUAAAAUGGUACAAAAUUUUCAGCAAAUGUGGAUGUUACAGGCACAAGCAGACAGAUGUGAAACUGAAAUCUGCAAAGAUGUGAAACUGAAAUUUGUUUGUGAAUCUGCAAAGUUGAUGAAUCUAUUUGAAAUUUGUUUAUGAAUCUGUAUGUGUAAUUCCAGCAUCCUAUUUGAAACUGACUUGGAUUAGUAACAAAUAUUAUGUGUACUGAAAUCUAUGCACCCUAUCUGUAGUGAUAUAACUUGUUGGAUAAUUUUAAUGUUGCAGUGUCUUGAAAUAAUCUUUGUUCAUAAUUAUAUUAUGGUAUAUCUAUUUUGGCCAUCACAUAUUAAAAUUGUGAUAAUUGAAGGCAUUUUGUUAUCGGCAUGCUGGCCUAUGUUGUGGCAUUUUGUUAUUUUCAUGAUGGCAUAUGUUGCUACAUAUGUAAUCUUAAUCAGUUCAACAAAUGACAAUAAUCCAAGAUGGCCUAUGUUGUGUACAUGAUGUUGGGAGCAUAUAAGUUAUUUGGCUGUGAUUUCAAGAUGUUGUAUCAGUUGAUUCCAUCAUGGUUUUAUUGUGGUAUCUGUUGAACAAAUUAAUGGUAUCUGUUGUGGUAUAUGUUGAACAAAUUAAUGGUAUAUCAAUUGACAAGCUCAUUUUGUUAU